AGGGUCCUACGGGGCGCAGCAGUGAGGAAUAUUGGUCAAUGGGCUUACGCCUGCACCCGCCAAGUCGCGUGAGGGAAGACUGCCCUAUGGGUUGUAAACCUCUUUUGUCAGGGAGCAAUUGGCGCUACGUGUAGCGUUAUCGAGAGUACCUGAAGAAAAAGCAUCGGCUAACUCCGUGCCAGCAGCCGCGGUAAUACGGAGGAUGCGAGCGUUAUCCGGAUUUAUUGGGUUUAAAGGGUGCGUAGGC
rnacentral:rRNA from 1 species